rnacentral:misc_RNA from 1 species
CGCUUUUCUUAUUUUUACUUCGGAGAAAAGGAAAUAAUAAAAAUAAAAGCCAAGUUACCACAAUGGGCUAGUUAAUUUUAAAGAAUUUUUUUUUUUUUUAUUUCAAGAUUAUGGCAAUGUAAAGGUAUACUGUACCAACACUCACGUUUAGUAAUUACUAAUUGAAAGUAAUUUUAGUAACACUUAAAAACUCACGCACACACAUUCAUAUUCACAAUAUAAUCAAUGUAAAAAUUGGAAAGUUGAGCCUCAAUAAGUACACUCAAG